rnacentral:rRNA from 1 species
AGACAGGUGCUGCAUGGCUGUCGUCAGCUCGUGUUGUGAAAUGUUGGGUUAAGUCCCGCAACGAGCGCAACCCUUAUCCUUUGUUGCCAGCGGUUCGGCCGGGAACUCAAAGGAGACUGCCAGUGAUAAACUGGAGGAAGGUGGGGAUGACGUCAAGUCAUCAUGGCCCUUACGAGUAGGGCUACACACGUGCUACAAUGGCAUAUACAAAGAGAAGCGACCUCGCGAGAGCAAGCGGACCUCAUAAAGUAUGUCGUAGUCCGGAUUGGAGUCUGCAACUCGACUCCAUGAAGUCGGAAUCGCUAGUAAUCGUAGAUCAGAAUGCUACGGUGAAUACGUUCCCGGGCCUUGUACACACCGCCCGUCACACCAUGGGAGUGGGUUGCAAAAGAAGUAGGUAGCUUAACCUUCGGGAGGGCGCUUACCACUUUGUGAUUCAUGACUGGGGUGAAGUCGUAACAAGGUAACCGUAGGGGAACCUGCGGUUGGAUC